AUCGGUCUUCGGUAGUGGCUGCCGGAAUCCGCGGAACUGUUCCGCAGGGUUCCGACCGCUUCGAUCGACGGCCGUC
rfam:Williamsia sp. Leaf354 contig_2, whole genome shotgun sequence.